AUUGAACGCUGGCGGCAUGCCUUACACAUGCAAGUCGAACGGCAGCACGGGUGCUUGCACCUGGUGGCGAGUGGCGAACGGGUGAGUAAUACAUCGUAACGUACCUUAUCGUGGGGGAUAACGCAGCGAAAGCUGUGCUAAUACCGCAUACGCCCUGAGGGGGAAAGCGGGGGAUCGCAAGACCUCGCGCGAUUAGAGCGGCCGAUGCCGAAUUGGCUCGUUUGUGGGGUAAAAGCCCACCAAGGCUACGAUAAGUAGCUGGUCUGAGAGGACGAUCAGCCACACUGGGACUGAGACACGGCCUAGACUCCUACGGGAGGCAGCAGUGGGGAAUUUUGGACAAUGGGGGCAACCCUGAUCCAGCAAUGCCGCGUGGGUGAAGAAGGCCUUCGGGUUGUAAAGCUCUUUUGUCAGGGAAGAAACACCGGCUCUAACACAGUCCGGGAAUGACGGUACCUGAAGAAUAAGCACCGGCUAACUACGUGCCAGCCGCCGCCGUAA
rnacentral:rRNA from 1 species